CGAGAGAGGGGACCAGAUGAAGUGGAUCAGACAGCCGUGCCCUCUGAAGUAGACUGUGCCACACUUCCAAGUACACCCUGCAUAAUUGUGUGUGUUCCCCUUUGACUGCAGAGAACUUUGUUUUCUGUCGACCAAGUCAUAGUUAACAGCCACAUCACCAUCUUCUGCGAUGCUCUGAAGUUGAUGUUUGCCUCAUACUACUGCUUGAAUAUUUCAUACCCAGGAGACCAAGGAGCAACGCUAGAGUUCGUGCAAAGGUGUGUUUACCGCAAGCGUUCCUUCCUUUCUCCGGGAAGUGGAAGGAAUCAGGGCCGUAUAAUCCGACUCCGGGUCGUUACAGCACACUAGGAGAGCAGCAAGAUGGAAAAUGCUAAGCAUUUCAUUAAGACGAGAAUGCUUUUCCCCGCUCUGCCUAGCGGCCCGGAGAGUCAAUACAUCAAAACCAGCGCACGCCGGAAAAUAUGCGCGAGUUUAAGAGGAAACUAAUUACGAGAGACUUUAAUCUCCUCGCCGAGAGCUUCACCUAUAACUCUGAUAAUCUGCUCUGUUUAAUAUGCUGGAAAAACACUUAGGAGACAUCGAUCAUUCGGAGCGCCUCCAGGCAAGGGCUGCUGCCAAAUGUUUGAAAACACGCAUUUCACAGUCGCACUGACGGCGCUGGCUGUAGAGUGGAUUGUGAUGCUGCUGUUUGGUGUAAGUUAAACUGGCGCAGUCAUGCGGCGAGAUGCUCGAUUCACAUUCACGACAUUCUGCUUCUGUCUUUGCGACAGCAGCUGUUCCAGAGCAGGAACGUGAGCAAUGCACAGUAAUAAACAAAACCAAAGUA